rnacentral:lncRNA from 1 species
GUCUAGGAGAGAUGGGACGUGCAUGUAUGUGAGAGACGGAGUCCACAGUGGCCAGAGGCAUUGGAGUUUCCUGGAGCUGGAGUUACAGGGUCACCUGGGAAGAAUGAACCUCAAUUGAGAAAAUGCCUCCUUUAUUUUUUUAUCAUUGAUGUGGGAGAGUCCAGACCAUCGUGGGCGGUGCUGUUCCUGAGCAGGAGGACCAUAAAAACGGUAGCCUGAACAAGCCAGGAGGAGCAAACCAGUGAGCCCCAUUUCUCCACCGUCUACUUCAGUUCCUGCCUCCCAGUUCCUGUCUAUAGUUCUUGUCCUGACUUCCCUUCACAGACAGACUGUGAUCAAGAUGUGUAAGCCAAAUAAACUCUUUCCUCUCCCGAU